UUACUUUAUAUACACAUGCAAGUAUCCGCCCCCCUGUGAAAACGCCCUUUAACCCCUCUCAGGACCAAGGAGCUGGUAUUAGGCACAAUAAUCUGCCCAAGACACCUAGCUAUGCCACACCCAUAAGGGAAUUCAGCAGUGAUUAACAUUGAAAAUUAAAGCUUGACUCAGUUUAAGUAAAAGAGCCGGCCAAUCUGGUGCCAGCCGCCGCGGUUACACCAUGUGGCUCAAAUUGACCCCCUCCGGCGUAAAGCGUGAUUAAAGUUAAACUCUUAGGGUUGAACUAAAACUAAGCCGUGACACGCCUGUUAUAAGAAACUCUUAAACGAAAGUUACUCUAAUUUAAUCAACUUGAACUCACGUCAGCUGGGGAACAAACUGGGAUUAGAUACCCCACUAUGCCCAAUCGUAAACUUUUAAUUACACGCCAGGGAACUACGAGCCAAGCUUAAAACCCAAAGGACUUGACGGUACCCCAUAUCCCCCUAGAGGAGCCUGUCCUAUAAUCGAUAAUCCUCGUUUAACCUCACCAUUUUUGGUUGCCAGCCUGUAUACCUCCGUCGUCAGCUUACCACGUGAGCGCAAGUUAGUGAGCCUAAUGUUUUUCACCAAUACGUCAGGUCAAGGUGCAGUAAAUGAAAUGGGAAGAGAUGGGCUACACUUUCUAUUAUAGAAGAAACGAAAAACUACCUAUGAAAAGUUGGAAGGCGGAUUUAGCAGUAAAAAGGAAUCAGAAUGUCCAUUUUAACCCGGCACUGGGGUGUGUACACACCGCCCGUCACCCUCUUCACAGCUACAAUAGUAUUAACUAACCUAAGCGUAACAGAAGAAGCAAGUCGUAACA
rnacentral:ncRNA from 1 species